GACGUAGGGCGCGAGCGUUGUCCGGAUUUAUUGGGCGUAAAGAGCUCGUAGGCGGCUUGUCGCGUCGUCCGUGAAAACCCACAGCUCAACUGUGGGCUUGCGGUCGAUACGGGCAGGCUAGAGUUCGGUAGGGGAGACUGGAAUUCCUGGUGUAGCGGUGAAAUGCGCAGAUAUCAGGAGGAACACCGGUGGCGAAGGCGGGUCUCUGGGACGUUACUGACGCUAAGGCGCGAAAGCGUGGGGAGCGAACAGG
rnacentral:rRNA from 1 species